UCUCUUGGGAGACCAUUAACCCCUUCAGACAUUUGAGGAAACAUGCUUCAUAUGUCAAGACAAUACACUAGUUUUGUAAUAAAGGAAAGUACACAGAUGGGAGAGACUUGGUGGGCUCUGACCUCAGAGUUGAAGCCCACACUGUCAGCAUGGGCAGAAGUAGGAUCAUUCCUCUUGCCAACCAGACUCUACCAGCAGCCACUCCAGAUCAGAUGACAGCUCUACCCAAGUCCAUGGAACCAAACCACUGUGAGAUAAACUUGUAAGCCAAAAUACAUCUUGUUUUUCCUUCUUUGCAGGGAUGUGGGGGGAUGAACAUAUGAAUAAAGAAUAAGAAUAAAAUGAA